rnacentral:rRNA from 1 species
CAGCAGCCGCGGGAAUACGGAGGGUGCAAGCGUUAUCCGGAUUUACUGGGUUUAAAGGGUGCGUAGGCGGCUUUUUAAGUCAGUGGUAAAAGCCUAGUGCUCAACAUUAGAAUAGCCAUUGAAACUAAUAAGCUUGAGUCAAGGAGAGGUAAGCAGAAUUUACGGUGUAGCAGUGAAAUGCUUAGAGAUCAUAAGGAAUACCAAUAGCGAAGGCAGCUUACUGGCCUUGCACUGACGCUGAGGCACGAAAGCGUGGGGAGCAAACAGGAUUAGAUACCCCUGUAGUCCCUGUCUCUUAUAC